UAGAUUAGUUACACAGGACCUACCUCUCCUAAAUCCAGAAUCCUCAGAAUGUUAUUUGAAUCCAGGUAAUCUACCAUUUUCACUUGGAUUAUAGCUUCUAUUACCUUUCCAGUUAUGCAAGUUAAGUUCCCUUGUAAUAUGCAGCCGAACCUGCCCACAUAAAUCUACGGAUUUUAUUUACAGUCUAUCCGUCCUUCCAUCUAAACUGCUUCCCCUGGUGAGAAUUGCACUACUUGACAUAAUAUGUAAAGAUGAAAGAUGUCAUAUUACUAUUCAAAUGGUUAUUGUAAAAAUAUAUGAAAGUGGCCACAGAAGUCACAUACAGCUGAUUGAUUCAUUUAGGUUUUGGUUCAUGUUUUGUGUGUCUGGACUAUCUGCAUUUGAGUCCGACAGGGAGGGGGUAGGGAAUGAAAUGGACAACCUGGAGUCUAGGAAGACGUUACAGUCUGAUGACGCUGUACCUUCAGUACCCGGGACCACAAGUCCUGGGAAAACAGCAUCCACACCCUGACAAAUUUAAAUGUGUUGGAGAACAGCAAGGCUGAGUAGAUGAACAUGAAGAGAAGCUGGAGGCUAGAGGGAUCUGAAGACAACCUCAAUGGUCCUUACCAGCCCCACUGAGUUUCAUUCACUUUGAUUUGAUUGUUAUGAAUGGUUCUUUAUGGCAUGACAUUAUAUUUGUAACCAUUCACAGUGAAGACACUAAUCCCUCUUUUGCCAAAGUAUUUUCUUGAAAAUGACAUGUGCAUUGUAAUAAUAGAGGAAAUCCAUAUGGUGUAACUUACUGGCAGUGACUGUCCUGGGUCAGGUUCCCACAAAAAGUCAAACUGGCCCAAACCAGUCACUGCUCAAAUUAACCCAUUCCCAGCAGGGUACAAGAAAAUAAUCACCUACAUUAUUAUCAUCACUCCUUGUUUGUGUUUAGACUUAAAAUCAGUGUUAAUAUUUUUAUUCUCUCGUUGCAGUUUUGUUGUUAUUGAAUUGUUUGCUCUUACAUUGUGCUGUUGCCCCUUAUAGCUUGAGAUCCUUGUACUUUACAGUGUAACGUAAUGCAGCGUUAUAUAUUUAUAAGUAGUAUAUUUUAUAGGGUGUUCGAAGAAUCCUUUUGGACACAACUGGAAGGACUGUGAUCUUUUUGUGAUGCUGUGUUUGUAGUGAGAGUUUUGUUUAGCUCACUGCUCACUGACUUUGCAGAAUUUCUCUUCAUAUUGUAGUAUUUCAAUGAGACGUGAGCUGUUCUCCAUUUAAAUGUCUACACAACUUUUUUCCAAAUAAACACCUUAACAUCCA